rnacentral:rRNA from 1 species
UACGAAGGGGGCUAGCGUUGUUCGGAAUUACUGGGCGUAAAGCGCGUGUAGGCGGGUCUUUAAGUCAGGGGUGAAAUGCCAAGGCUCAACCUUGGAACUGCCUUUGAUACUGGAGACCUUGAGUCCGGGAGAGGUGAGUGGAAUUGCGAGUGUAGAGGUGAAAUUCGUAGAUAUCUGGAGGAACACCGGUGGCGAAGGCGACGUCCUGGACCGGCAUUGACGCUGAGGCGCGAAAGCCAGGGGAGCAAACAGG